UUCCUUCCCAAAAUCCCCCCCCCUUCUCCUCCUCCUCCUCCGAUGCCCGAUCGGCAGCCCAGACGGAGAGAAAGGGCGGCGGCGGCAGCAGCGGCUGCCGCCACUCGGCGCGGGCGGGGCUGCCGCUUCCGCCUUCCCGCUCGGCUCUUCCUCGCCCGCCCGCGUCGGGCCAAGGAAAUGAUGGAGGGAGGGGGGAGUGCGGGAAACGCGGCGGGCGGCGACGACAAACGAAAAGUUGGCUGGCUGGGGAAUUCUGGGAGUUGGAGUCCACAGGUCUUAACAUUGCCAAAUUGGACAUCCCUGAAUUAAACCAGGACAUCCUCCUGAGUGCCCUGAGGUUAUGGAAACCAGAGAGAAAGAUGGACAUGAUCUCAAAUUACCUGUUCUGCUAUGUUAUUAUAGAUGCAUUCUGGAGACAGUAUUGCUUCCAUUUAUGUUUCAGCUGCAGCAAACAUCUGGGCAAGAUUAAGGCAUGUGAAAGGUUGGGGUUUAACCCCUCUUUCUGGCUGCCUGGCUUUGGAGUACAAUGGAAAAAAAUGUUUCAGCACUAUUUCAUUUGACCAGAUGUACAUUUUAAUUAAAGUUUGCUCCAUUGA